GACGAGUGGCGAACGGGUGAGUAAUACAUCGGAACGUGUCCGCUCGUGGGGGACAACCAGCCGAAAGGUUGGCUAAUACCGCAUGAGUUCUACGGAAGAAAGAGGGGGACCCGCAAGGGCCUCUCGCGAGCGGAGCGGCCGAUGACUGAUUAGCCAGUUGGUGAGGUAACGGCUCACCAAAGCAACGAUCAGUAGCUGGUCUGAGAGGACGACCAGCCACACUGGGACUGAGACACGGCCCAGACUCCUACGGGAGGCAGCAGUGGGGAAUUUUGGACAAUGGGCGCAAGCCUGAUCCAGCUAUUCCGCGUGUGGGAUGAAGGCCCUCGGGUUGUAAACCACUUUUGUAGAGAACGAAAAGACACCAUCGAAUAAAUGGUGUUGCUGACGGUACUCUAAGAAUAAGCACCGGCUAACUACGUGCCAGCAGCCGCGGUAAUACGUAGGGUGCGAGCGUUAAUCGGAAUUACUGGGCGUAAAGGGUGCGCAGGCGGUUGAGUAAGACAGAUGUGAAAUCCCCGAGCUUAACUCGGGAAUGGCAUAUGUGACUGCUCGACUAGAGUGUGUCAGAGGGAGGUGGAAUUCCACGUGUAGCAGUGAAAUGCGUAGAUAUGUGGAAGAACACCGAUGGCGAAGGCAGCC
rnacentral:rRNA from 1 species